GCUGUCGUCAGCUCGUGUUGUGAAAUGUUGGGUUAAGUCCCGCAACGAGCGCAACCCUUAUCCUUUGUUGCCAGCGGUCCGGCCGGGAACUCAAAGGAGACUGCCAGUGAUAAACUGGAGGAAGGUGGGGAUGACGUCAAGUCAUCAUGGCCCUUACGACCAGGGCUACACACGUGCUACAAUGGCGCAUACAAAGAGAAGCGACCUCGCGAGAGCAAGCGGACCUCAUAAAGUGCGUCGUAGUCCGGAUUGGAGUCUGCAACUCGACUCCAUGAAGUCGGAAUCGCUAGUAAUCGUGGAUCAG
rnacentral:rRNA from 1 species